CCUACGGGUGGCAGCAGUGGGGGAUAUUGCACAAUGGGGGAAACCCUGAUGCAGCGACGCCGCGUGUGGGAAGACGGUCCUCUGGAUUGUAAACCACUGUCCCCAGGGACGAAGAUGACGGUACCUGGGGAGGAAGCUCCGGCUAACUACGUGCCAGCAGCCGCGGUAAUACGUAGGGAGCAAGCGUUGUCCGGAAUUACUGGGUGUAAAGGGAGCGUAGGCGGGAUGGCAAGUUGGGUGUUAAAUCUACCGGCUCAACUGGUAGUCGCACUCAAAACUGCUAUUCUUGAGUGAAGUAGAGGCAGGCGGCAUUCCUAGUGUAGCGGUGAAAUGCGUCGAUAUUAGGAGGAACCCCAGUGGCGACGGCGGCCUGCUGGGCUUUUCCUGACGCUGAGGCUCGAAAGUGUGGGGAGCACACAGGAUUAGAUACCCUAGUAGUC
rnacentral:rRNA from 1 species